UAUCUAAUUCUUCUUUAUUUAGAAGAAAAAAAAUACAUGCAAAAUCUCAACCGGAACCGUGGUCGUUGCUCCGAUUUUUCUGGUUUCUUUUUAUAGUUGCCGUCGGACAACCUUAUCCAUUUGACAGACUAUCCAUUUCUCCUCCUGUUUCAUUGACGUCCAGCUGUGGCGGCGGAUGACAUGGAUGGUCGGCAGCGCGACUGACAUGGAUGGGCGGCGGCGACCAAGAGAAGCUCGGUCAAGACGUCCAUCUUCCACCGGCCAAUGGUGCUGACGUGACUGACCAGAUUGGUUUUUGGCACGGCGACCGUGGAUGGAACAAGAUCGAAGGUGUACUCACUUCGGCGGAGCCUUGUUCUUUUUCCGUUGAUGUUGAAUCCUGCUCCAAGUUCUCCAACCGCAAGUAGCUACUUUUGAAGCCCACUAAUCACAUGCCAGGUUACACCAGGAACCACCACAGAUCUGGUAUGUGGCACGAAAGGGUUGUAUCCCCUCGUACAGGUUGGCAACUUUUUCUCGCCUAAUUUGUAGAGGGUCAAUCGAACACGAGGAUGCCUUCUAUGCCCAUAUGCCACAUUCAAACAGUCCAAAAUUCAGAUUUGGGGAUUUUUCUUCUAUUGACGGUUAGUAUGAAUUUAAUUCCAAAUUCUGGUAAACAAUUAAGGAUGCCAUCUGAUUGUAUUUUUGUGCACUUCAUUGAUUUAAUACCAACCGAUGUACUAUAAUUUGUACUCCCUCCAUUCGGAAUUACUUGUAAAAUACGUCUAGAUACAUUCAUUUUUGCGACAAGUAAUUUCGAACUGAGGGAAUACAUGCAGGGUGCAUGUUUUUGGAUGCAUUGCGCCACCGCUGACGCCACCGCUGGCCAUGUGGGGUGGAGCGGCCAUGCAUGGUGAAGUUUCAUGCAUACGCGACGAGUGAUCCCACUCGCCCGAUCUCACCCGCAGCUACAUUGUCAGCAGCCAUCCCUCGGGUGUGCUCUCUUCAAGUCUGGCACACGCUGGGGAAUAUGAUGUCAGAUUGAAGAACACAUGAAUCACCAUGAAUCUCCUAGCAACUGAUAGUGCAUGUUUGAUCCACUGUUUAAUAUACUGUGUGCAUGACAUUAGUUUGCUAGUACGUACACACGAGAAACAGUUGGCAGCUUCCUUUGCACCCAUAUAAUUGAGUCACGUUUCUUAUUGAGGAUGAUGUAUAUGUCACCUACAGAAAAAUGAUGAUGUAUAUGUACUCCUUCUGAUGCAAACGAAUUGAUUUUUCAUGAACUUA